GAUGAACGCUGGCGGCGUGCCUAAUACAUGCAAGUCGAGCGAACAGACGAGGAGCUUGCUCCUCUGACGUUAGCGGCGGACGGGUGAGUAACACGUGGAUAACCUACCUAUAAGACUGGGAUAACUUCGGGAAACCGGAGCUAAUACCGGAUAAUAUAUUGAACCGCAUGGUUCAAUAGUGAAAGACGGUUUUGCUGUCACUUAUAGAUGGAUCCGCGCCGCAUUAGCUAGUUGGUAAGGUAACGGCUUACCAAGGCAACGAUGCGUAGCCGCCCUGAUAGGGUGAUCGGCCACACUGGAACUGAGACACGGUCCAGACUCCUACGGGAGGCAGCAGUAGGGAAUAUUCCGCAAUGGGCGAAAGACUGACGGAGCAACGCCGCGUGAGUGAUGAAGGUCUUCGGAUCGUAAAACUCUGUUAUUAGGGAAGAACAAAUGUGUAAGUAACUAUGCACGUCUUGACGGUACCUAAUCAGAAAGCCACGGCUAACUACGUG
rnacentral:rRNA from 1 species